GAGGAACUACUGUCUUCACGCAGAAAGCGUCUAGCCAUGGCGUUAGUAUGAGUGUCGUGCAGCCUCCAGGACCCCCCCUCCCGGGAGAGCCAUAGUGGUCUGCGGAACCGGUGAGUACACCGGAAUUGCCAGGACGACCGGGUCCUUUCUUGGAUUAACCCGCUCAAUGCCUGGAGAUUUGGGCGUGCCCCCGCGAGAANNNUAGCCGAGUAGUGUUGGGUCGCGAAAGGCCUUGUGGUACUGCCUGAUAGGGUGCUUGCGAGUGCCCCGGGAGUN
rnacentral:other from 1 species